GGGUUGUGAGGUUAAGCGACUAAGCGUACACGGUGGAUGCCCUGGCAGUCAGAGGCGAUGAAGGACGUGCUAAUCUGCGAUAAGCGCCGGUAAGGUGAUAUGAACCGUUAUAACCGGCGAUUUCCGAAUGGGGAAACCCAGUGUGAUUCGUCACACUAUCAUUAACUGAAUCCAUAGGUUAAUGAGGCGAACCGGGGGAACUGAAACAUCUAAGUACCCCGAGGAAAAGAAAUCAACCGAGAUUCCCCCAGUAGCGGCGAGCGAACGGGGAGGAGCCCAGAGCCUGAAUCAGCAUGUGUGUUAGUGGAAGCGUCUGGAAAGGCGCGCGAUACAGGGUGACAGCCCCGUACACAAAAGCGCACAUGCUGUGAGCUCGAUGAGUAGGGCGGGACACGUGGUAUCCUGUCUGAAUAUGGGGGGACCAUCCUCCAAGGCUAAAUACUCCUGACUGACCGAUAGUGAACCAGUACCGUGAGGGAAAGGCGAAAAGAACCCCGGCGAGGGGAGUGAAAAAGAACCUGAAACCGUGUACGUACAAGCAGUGGGAGCACCCUUUGGGGUGUGACUGCGUACCUUUUGUAUAAUGGGUCAGCGACUUAUAUUCUGUAGCAAGGUUAACCGUAUAGGGGAGCC
rnacentral:rRNA from 1 species